rnacentral:rRNA from 3 species
GAAAGGCCAAUCAAACCGGGAGAUAGCUGGUUCUCCCCGAAAGCUAUUUAGGUAGCGCCUCGUGAAUUCAUCUCCGGGGGUAGAGCACUGUUUCGGCAAGGGGGUCAUCCCGACUUACCAACCCGAUGCAAACUGCGAAUACCGGAGAAUGUUAUCACGGGAGACACACGGCGGGUGCUAACGUCCGUCGUGAAGAGGGAAACAACCCAGACCGCCAGCUAAGGUCCCAAAGUCAUGGUUAAGUGGGAAACGAUGUGGGAAGGCCCAGACAGCCAGGAUGUUGGCUUAGAAGCAGCCAUCAUUUAAAGAAAGCGUAAUAGCUCACUGGUCGAGUCGGCCUGCGCGGAAGAUGUAACGGGGCUAAACCAUGCACCGAAGCUGCGGCAGCGACACUAUGUGUUGUUGGGUAGGGGAGCGUUCUGUAAGCCUGUGAAGGUGGCCUGUGAGGGUUGCUGGAGGUAUCAGAAGUGCGAAUGCUGACAUAAGUAACGAUAAAGCGGGUGAAAAGCCCGCUCGCCGGAAGACCAAGGGUUCCUGUCCAACGUUAAUCGGGGCAGGGUGAGUCGACCCCUAAGGCGAGGCCGAAAGGCGUAGUCGAUGGGAAACAGGUUAAUAUUCCUGUACUUGGUGUUACUGCGAAGGGGGGACGGAGAAGGCUAUGUUGGCCGGGCGACGGUUGUCCCGGUUUAAGCGUGUAGGCUGGUUUUCCAGGCAAAUCCGGAAAACCAAGGCUGAGGCGUGAUGACGAGGCACUACGGUGCUGAAGCGACAAAUGCCCUGCUUCCAGGAAAAGCCUCUAAGCAUCAGGUAACAUCAAAUCGUACCCCAAACCGACACAGGUGGUCAGGUAGAGAAUACCAAGGCGCUUGAGAGAACUCGGGUGAAGGAACUAGGCAAAAUGGUGCCGUAACUUCGGGAGAAGGCACGCUGAUAUGUAGGUGAAGCGACUUGCUCGUGGAGCUGAAAUCAGUCGAAGAUACCAGCUGGCUGCAACUGUUUAUUAAAAACACAGCACUGUGCAAACACGAAAGUGGACGUAUACGGUGUGACGCCUGCCCGGUGCCGGAAGGUUAAUUGAUGGGGUUAGCGGUAACGCGAAGCUCUUGAUCGAAGCCCCGGUAAACGGCGGCCGUAACUAUAACGGUCCUAAGGUAGCGAAAUUCCUUGUCGGGUAAGUUCCGACCUGCACGAAUGGCGUAAUGAUGGCCAGGCUGUCUCCACCCGAGACUCAGUGAAAUUGAACUCGCUGUGAAGAUGCAGUGUACCCGCGGCAAGACGGAAAGACCCCGUGAACCUUUACUAUAGCUUGACACUGAACAUUGAGCCUUGAUGUGUAGGAUAGGUGGGAGGCUUUGAAGUGUGGACGCCAGUCUGCAUGGAGCCGACCUUGAAAUACCACCCUUUAAUGUUUGAUGUUCUAACGUUGGCCCGUAAUCCGGGUUGCGGACAGUGUCUGGUGGGUAGUUUGACUGGGGCGGUCUCCUCCUAAAGAGUAACGGAGGAGCACGAAGGUUGGCUAAUCCUGGUCGGACAUCAGGAGGUUAGUGCAAUGGCAUAAGCCAGCUUGACUGCGAGCGUGACGGCGCGAGCAGGUGCGAAAGCAGGUCAUAGUGAUCCGGUGGUUCUGAAUGGAAGGGCCAUCGCUCAACGGAUAAAAGGUACUCCGGGGAUAACAGGCUGAUACCGCCCAAGAGUUCAUAUCGACGGCGGUGUUUGGCACCUCGAUGUCGGCUCAUCACAUCCUGGGGCUGAAGUAGGUCCCAAGGGUAUGGCUGUUCGCCAUUUAAAGUGGUACGCGAGCUGGGUUUAGAACGUCGUGAGACAGUUCGGUCCCUAUCUGCCGUGGGCGCUGGAGAACUGAGGGGGGCUGCUCCUAGUACGAGAGGACCGGAGUGGACGCAUCACUGGUGUUCGGGUUGUCAUGCCAAUGGCACUGCCCGGUAGCUAAAUGCGGAAGAGAUAAGUGCUGAAAGCAUCUAAGCACGAAACUUGCCCCGAGAUGAGUUCUCCCUGACUCCUUGAGAGUCCUGAAGGAACGUUGAAGACGACGACGUUGAUAGGCCGGGUGUGUAAGCGCAGCGAUGCGUUGAGCUAACCGGUACUAAUGAACCGUGAGGCUUAACCUU